rnacentral:rRNA from 1 species
GAUGAACGCUGGCGGCGUGCCCAAUACAUGCAAGUCGAGCGAAUGGAUUAAGAGCUUGCUCUUAUGAAGUUAGCGGCGGACGGGUGAGUAACACGUGGGUAACCUGCCCAUAAGACUGGGAUAACUCCGGGAAACCGGGGCUAAUACCGGAUAACAUUUUGAACCGCAUGGUUCGAAAUUGAAAGGCGGCUUCGGCUGUCACUGAUGGAUGGACCAGCGUCGCAUUAGCUAGUUGGUGAGGUAAAGGCUCACCAAGGCAACGAUGCGUAGCCGACCUGAGAGGGUGAUCGGCCACACUGGGACUGAGACACGGCCCAGACUCCUACGGGAGGCAGCAGUAGGGAAUCUUCCGCAAUGGACGAAAGUCUGACGGAGCAACGCCGCGUGAGUGAUGAAGGCUUUCGGGUCGUAAAACUCUGUUGUUAGGGAAGAACAAGUGCUAGUUGAAUAAGCUGGCACCUUGACGGUACCUAACCAGAAAGCCACGGCUAACUACGUGCCAGCAGCCGCCGUAA